rnacentral:rRNA from 1 species
UACGGGGGGGAGCAAGCGUUGUUCGGAUUUACUGGGCGUAAAGGGUGCGUAGGUGGCAUGGUAAGUCGGAUGUGAAAACCCGCGGCUCAACCGUGUGGUCUGCAGUCGAUACGGGCAGGCUAGAAUUCGGUAGGGGAGACUGGAAUUCCUGGUGUAGCGGUGAAAUGCGCAGAUAUCAGGAGGAACACCGGUGGCGAAGGCGGAUCUCUGGGCCAUUACUGACGCUGAGGAGCGAAAGCGUGGGGAGCGAACAGG